CUGUGCUGCCGCCGGCCGCCUCUGGGUCUGUACGCGCGCAUGCGGCGGCUGCCCGGGCCGGAGGUGUCUGGGCGGAGCGUGGCUGCGGCCAGCGGACCGGGCGCCUGGGGCACUGACCACUACUGCCUGGAGCUGCUGCGGAAACGGGAUUAUGAAGGUUAUUUAUGCUCCCUGCUGCUCCCUGCAGAAUCCCGAAGCUCUGUUUUUGCACUGAGGGCCUUUAAUGUGGAACUGGCUCAGGCUGGAUUACUCUUGCUGCUGUCUUGCUGUACUGUAUGCCACUGGGAUCUGAACACUAAACAUUGCUAAGAAACCCACCCACCACCAGGAUAUUUGGAAGUAACUUCACAUAUGGAAAAGUUAAAGACUCAGUCUCUGAGAAAACAAUUGGACUGAUGCGAAUGCAGUUUUGGAAAAAAACUGUGGAAGAUAUAUACUGUGACAAUCCACCACAUCAGCCUGUGGCCAUUGAACUAUGGAAGUGAUUGCCAAAAGAGGGUUUCUGUAACAGGAGCCACCCACAGACCUGACAGUGGUACACCUCUUCUCAGGUCUGCACACCAGCAGAGGCAGGCCCAGUUU
rnacentral:lncRNA from 1 species